rnacentral:rRNA from 1 species
AGGUNUCCGUAGGUGAACCUGCGGAAGGAUCAUUUCUGAAGGCUUUUUGCCAAAACCACUGUGAACAGCUUAGACUUCGGUCUUUGCAAUUGCUUGGGUGUCGAAAGGCGCCCAAUCUUUAAAACUUUUAUAUUUGUUCUGAAACAAUGAAAAUUUAAAACUUUCAACAACGGAUCUCUUGGUUCUCGUAUCGAUGAAGAACGCAGCAAAGCGCGAUAGGUAAUGCGAAUUGCAGACGUGAGUCAUUGAAUUUUUGAACGCAUAUUGCGCUAUUAGUUUGUCUAAUAGCAUGCUUGUUGGAGUGAUAAUCUUCCUCUCAACCAUUUUUGGUAUGAGGUCUUGCUCCUUUUAGGAGUUAAAAUCAUGGAAGUGCACACGUUAAUUAACUCUGUGCAGUUAUACACUUUUCAUCCUCCAAUCAAGCAAGGUUACCCGCUGAACUUAAGCAUAUCAAUAA